rnacentral:rRNA from 1 species
CGCGCGCGAGCGAGAGGGCGAGAGGCCCAUCCGCGCAACGAAAGCGAAUGGCGGGACGCUCUCCCGGCAGGGGGGCGGCGCCGCCGGCCGGACGUCCUCGAGGCGGACCGAGCCGGAGCGCUCGCGUCGGGACCCGAAAGGUGGUGAUCUAUCCGUGCGCGCGGCGAAGCCGGGGGAAACCCCGGUGGAGGCCCGUCGACGGUACUGACGUGCAAAUCGUUCGUCCGACGUGCGAAUAGGGGUGAAAGACCAAUCGAACCUCCUAGUAGCUGGUUUCCGCCGAAAUUUCCCUCAGGAUAGCGGCCAUCGCGGAAACGUUUUGACCGGUAGAGCGAACGACUAGAGGUACCGGGGCCGUAACGGCCUCGACCUAUUCUCGAACUCCGAACGGGGCAAGGAGCCGGGGUCGCCCGAUCGGACCCCGGACGUGAAGUCGACGAUGGUCGGUGGGCUGGUUUUGGUAAGCAGAACGGGCGAUUCGGGAUGAACCGGAAGCGGG